rnacentral:rRNA from 1 species
AAGUGCGAAUGCUGACAUAAGUAACGAUAAAACGGGUGAAAAACCCGUUCGCCGGAAGACCAAGGGUUCCUGUCCAACGUUAAUCGGGGCAGGGUGAGUCGGCUCCUAAGGCGAGGCUGAAAAGCGUAGUCGAUGGGAAACAGGUUAAUAUUCCUGUACUUGGUAAAGCUGCGAUGUGGGGACGGAGUAGGUUAGGUUAUCGCACUGUUGGAUAUGUGCGUUUAAGUUGGUAGGUGGGAAGUUUAGGCAAAUCCGGGCUUCCUUAACACAGAGAGAUGAUGACGAGGCUCUACGGAGCUGAAGUAACUGAUACCACACUUCCAGGAAAAGCCACUAAGCGAAAGGCUUUACUAAACCGUACUGAAAACCGACACAGGUGGUCAGGUAGAGAAUACUCAGGCGCUUGAGAGAACUCGGGUGAAGGAACUAGGCAAAAUAGCACCGUAACUUCGGGAGAAGGUGCGCCGGCGUAGAUUGUAAGGGCUAGCCCCUGAAGGUUGAACCGGUCGAAGAUACCAGCUGGCUGCAACUGUUUAUUAAAAACACAGCACUCUGCAAACACGAAAGUGGACGUAUAGGGUGUGAUGCCUGCCCGGUGCUGGAAGGUUAAUUGAUGGUGUAAUCGCAAGAGAAGCACCUGAUCGAAGCCCCAGUAAACGGCGGCCGUAACUAUAACGGUCCUAAGGUAGCGAAAUUCCUUGUCGGGUAAGUUCCGACCUGCACGAAUGGCAUAAUGAUGGCCAGGCUGUCUCCACCCGAGACUCAGUGAAAUUGAAAUCGCCGUGAAGAUGCGGUGUACCCGCGGCUAGACGGAAAGACCCCGUGAACCUUUACUAUAGCUUGACACUGAACAUUGAAUUUUGAUGUGUAGGAUAGGUGGGAGACUUAGAAGUAGUCACGCCAGUGAUUAUGGAGUCGACCUUGAAAUACCACCCUUUAACGUUUGAUGUUCUAACGAAGAUGACGAAACGUGGUCUCGGACAGUGUCUGGUGGGUAGUUUGACUGGGGCGGUCUCCUCCCAAAGCGUAACGGAGGAGCACGAAGGUUUGCUAAUCACGGUCGGACAUCGUGAGGUUAGUGCAAUGGUAUAAGCAAGCUUAACUGCGAGACAGACAAGUCGAGCAGGUACGAAAGUAGGUCAUAGUGAUCCGGUGGUUCUGAAUGGAAGGGCCAUCGCUCAACGGAUAAAAGGUACUCCGGGGAUAACAGGCUGAUACCGCCCAAGAGUUCAUAUCGACGGCGGUGUUUGGCACCUCGAUGUCGGCUCAUCACAUCCUGGGGCUGAAGUAGGUCCCAAGGGUAUGGCUGUUCGCCAUUUAAAGUGGUACGCGAGCUGGGUUUAGAACGUCGUGAGACAGUUCGGUCCCUAUCUGCCGUGGGCGUAGGAGAAUUGAUUGGGGCUGCUCCUAGUACGAGAGGACCGGAGUGGACGCACCACUGGUGUUCCGGUUGUGUCGCCAGACGCAUUGCCGGGUAGCUAAGUGCGGAAGAGAUAAGUGCUGAAAGCAUCUAAGCACGAAACUUGCCAAGAGAUGAGUUCUCCCAAUCUAAGAGAUUGUAAGGGUUGUUGUAGACUACGACGUAGAUAGGUCUGGUGUGUAAGUGUAGUGAU